GGGGAUUUAGCUCAGUGGUAGAGCGCUUACCUAGGAAGCACAAGACCCUGGGUUCGGUCCCCAGCUCCA
rfam:Rattus norvegicus chromosome 2, whole genome shotgun sequence.